rnacentral:rRNA from 1 species
UACAGGGGGUGCAAACGUUGCUCGGAAUCAUUGGGCGUAAAGCGCACGUAGGCGGUUCGUUAUGUCGGAUGUGAAAGCCCUUGGCUUAACCGAGGAAGUGCAUCCGAAACUGGCGAGCUAGAGUACGAAAGAGGAUCGCGGAAUUCCCGGUGUAGAGGUGAAAUUCGUAGAUAUCGGGAGGAACACCGGUGGCGAAGGCGGCGAUCUGGACGGAUACUGACGCUGAGACGCGAAAGCGUGGGGAGCAAACAGG